GUACCGUUAGCUCAGUUGGUAGAGCAAAUGACUCUUAAUCAUUGGGUCGCGGGUUCGAAUCCCUCACGGUGCACCA
rnacentral:tRNA from 1 species